rnacentral:misc_RNA from 1 species
GAGCAUAGACUCUCUUGUUUUACUAGGACCAGACGGACCAGAUUCACUCCUACCGUCGUGCAUACUUUAAGAGGGUCUACGACUUUGGUUUCUCUUUGUACGGCACUGAUUUUGACUUGCGGUCCGCGCGACGCAUCGCACCGAUUGGCUGCGGCGCUCGGCGUAGUUAGAUCACAAGCCCCGACGACCUUUGCCCUGAAGAGACCUGCGUCUUGUUGGCGAAAGUUGAUGCAUGUAGCAGUCUUGGGGAGAGUACGUCAGUGAGUUAGAGCACGUGCGAGAUAAGAGUGAGGUCGGAGGUUCAAGUCCUCCCAGACCCUCCAUUUCCUCGACAACAGGGACCAGGGGUCAGAGGUCAGAUGGCAGAGCGCGCAAUCAGCAAGCAGGAGGUUGUCGGUUCGAUCCCGUCCGGCUCCCCCAUCGCCCCGCAAUCCGCAGGAUUGUUUUUCUGCAAAAAAAAGGUUUGGAGUUUAUUCUGAGGAAGAAAGGGAAAAGACAGUAUGUGAAGAGGGUGGGGAAAACGUCAUUGGUAUAAAGGUUUGCGGCGAGCUUUUGGAAAGAGAACAUUUUUUGUAAGACAUUGUAAAGAAAAGGGUUGUGAUAAGUUCAGGGCCCCCAACGGUCUCCAUUUGUUGUCGCGGGAGACGCUCAAUCUCCCCCUUGAGACGGUUUUGCCUAACCGCUCCCUCGAACCCAUCUCGAGAAGCUGGUCUUUUUGUGCCAAUGCCAUCAAACCAAGUCCUGCACAGGAUUCGGGUGAAGCGACGAUCUCUUCGAGAUCGCGCUGGGCGACGAUCUCUUCGAGAUCGCGCGGUGGGUAUUGGCAAUGAGAACGAUCAAGUGUCUUAAGGGCAAUUGGUGGAUGCCUUGGCAUGCACAGGCGAUGAAGGACGUGAUACGCUGCGAUAAGCUACGGGGAGGUGCGAAUACCCU